AAACAGGCAACGAAGUUGAAGAUCGCCAGAAACUUCAAGGAAGUAGAGCCAGAAGAACUUGACAUUUGUGUGCAAGGGAAUACAAACUUGAAGAAAUAGGGGAGCGGUAGUUCAAACUACGAGCUAAGCAUUCAGUGCGCCCAAAGGGAAGUACAGAGAAGUUUGAUGUGUGAGACGCCACACCCCCCAAAACCAGUUGAGGAGAUUGUUGAUUUGACAACACCUGAAGUUCAAAUGUCAACUGGGUGGAAUCACAGGCAAACUUGCUACUCACCAUGCAAAAAUAAUAACGAGUACACAGCCGAGACUCCCCCACUCAAAAUGAAGAAGGACUACUCCAUGGUUCCAAUAAUAGGAAAAAGGUUAUUUCCAGAGGAGGAAAGCUGUCAACAAGAAUCCAGCGGCAGCAAAAGGAAUCCAGUACAACUAAUGGAAGAAAAAACUAUAAACAGCCGUUUUUUUAAUUUUUUAAGUGCUCUCUGUUUGUUAAUCGUUCUUUUCUUUUUUCUGAAUUUCUUUUUUUGUGCCAUAUGUAUAGUCAGGAUAACUCAAAAUUCAUGGAGGAAACAUGUUUAGGCAAGAGCGCAGCACAUUGGUCAACAGAACUGAUGAUUUUUACAACACAAAUCUCUCGUUAGGAAGGCCAAGCAGUUUCCGUGGAAAAGAAAAUGUACCACCAAAGAGGAUUGUCCAACCAAGCAGGUACCGUAGCUCACUAUACGGCUGCAGUGAGAGGGGCCAAAUAAUGCCACAUGAGAGAAAGAUGUAUGAGAACAUAACAUCCUUGGCCAAUGUUGAAGGAUCCAAACCUGCAGUUUUGAUUGACAAAACCAUCGCCACAUUUGGACAGUUGGGUAACUCGAAGAAAAUAGGUGGCCGGGUCCAGGCCUAUGUCAUAAAUGUGUACUGCAGGCACCUAUUUAAUGAAAAUCAUCCUAGGAACUCACUCAAGCACUAUUUCUUCCACACUGCAUCUGAAUAUUUCCUGGGCAAAUGGAAAAAUGAUGAGGCAAGAAUUUGGUGGAGGAAGAAACUGAUUAGAAGUUUCAUUGGAGCUGGAAAAGCACAUAAUCUUUUGAUGUCAGACAAGGUUUUUUGUCAAACUUCCUCUUUUCAUUUUUCCACAACACAAGUUCAGCUAUAAUUUAGUUUAGUGUUUUUUUCCUUCUUUCAUACACACUAACCUGUUAUCUAUAUUUUUCCCUUUUCUGCAUCAACUCCAAAAUGGAUGUACACAAGUUGUACUUUCCAACACUACACGAGGAAUAUUACUUUCUGUUCGUCGUCGACAUCAAGGGUCGCACAUUUUAUUUUUUGGAUUCUUUCUAUGAUGAGAAUAGCUCAUAUCAUAUGAACAUAAAAAAGAAGAUUAUCUCAAGCUUUAUAUGCACUUGGUACGAAGCUCGGCUCCAGCCAAUGGAUUUCAGUGCAUUCCCUACUGUUUACCCUAAAGUCCCUCAACAAGAUAACGAUAUUGAUUGUGGCAUUUUCACUAUGAAACUAAUGGGAUGGUGCCCAAGGAAUCCAACCCCUAUAGUUUUUUCACCAAAAAAUGUCCCAGAUGCAAGGAUCCGAUAUGCUGUUGAUCUCAUGUUCAGCCACUACAACACUUUGGAUGACGAGAAGAAGCGUGUCAAGGAGUUCCGCCUAUAGACAUGAAAAAGUGCUGACAGCUCCUAAAAGACACCACUCACAAUGACAAGAGGAGCUAUAUCAAGAGUCAUAUUAGCAAAAUCAAAGGAAAGAUGAGAUGUAUCAAACACAUAGUUAGCAAUUGUUAAACAUUUUCGAGAUGUUUUUCUAUUUUUUGUAUGAACAGAGAAUGUACACCUUUCUUGUUGCUGUACGCAUAUAUAUGCCCCCUCUGUUAUUUUUGUUUGGUUGGGAAACAUGUGCUCCCGAAGGUACUUCUACCCUAGUUUGGUCUUUUUCACUCGGUAAUGUGGUGAAACACAAGAACUAUAACAGUGUUUUGCUCAUGUGUUUAUGUUUGCACAUUUUCCAAAAUUUUGCUUAAAUGAAUUUUCAUGUUUCCCGUGUGGGCAUCAAUACUUUUUUUUGUGUUUUCCAUCUGAUGGAGAGGGCCAAGGAGAUGACGACACAAAGGCACCAAAAACUUAUGAACUUAAGGAGGAGAAACAAUGCCCAUUUUGGAUUUUUCUCAUAAUGCAAGGAAACACUCAUAAAGAUCAAGACCAACAGCAACAAGAGAAACUUUGAACAACAUGUGAGACAAAGAUGGAGUUUUCCUCCCAUGAAGUUAUCUCAGAGACAAACCUGCGUGCCCAUCAGGAAAUUUCCAUACUGCUCCAAAAUUGCUACAGAAAAACAAAGGGAGAAGAAGAAAUCAAAAGGUUUUCAGAUCCAAAAAGAAGAAGGGAACAAGAUCAUGAGAAUUGAAAAAGAAAGGAGCUGCAGAUGGAUCCAUGGACGCACAAACUCACC